AAAAAGUAUACUUGAUCUGAGUUUUGCAGUAAUAAGCAUAGUGUAUUAAUUUCAUAACAUUUGACUGAGGCAAACUUAAGUAAGAGAUUGGAAAAGAAAAAUUCCAUUUGCAAAGGGACCAAUUUGGGACGUACAGACCAAAAUACAAGGGAAAAACAUUAUGCCUCAUCUGCUACUACAGGGGUAUAAAAUAUUUAUUUUCUAGGGCCUGAAAUAAUAAUGUUAAAUGCCCCUAGUUCUUUCUCUAAAGAGAAAAGUAAAAGUGUGUUUUCUUAUUUCCCUAAGGGGCAAACCAUUAUAAACUAAUUGAGAUACAGACUUAAACUUCACUGAAAUAAAGUUUGGAAGGGCUUUUAACUUAUCUAAUUUCCAACUUUUCUUUUAAUCUCAUUAUGUAAAAAAUUAUAUUAAGAAAUAAAUACAUUAAAAUAAUACUAUUUGUAUGCAAACCUUCUUUUUUUUUAAUAUACUACAACAUUUCAA
rnacentral:lncRNA from 1 species